rnacentral:rRNA from 1 species
AUUGAACGCUGGCGGCAGGCCUAACACAUGCAAGUCGAACGAGUGGCGGACGGGUGAGUAAUGUCUGGGAAACUGCCUGAUGGAGGGGGAUAACUACUGGAAACGGUAGCUAAUACCGCAUACAAUCGGAUAGGCCAAGAUGGGAUUAGCGAGUAGGUGGGGAAAGGGCUAACCUAGGCGACGAUCCCUAGCUGGUCGUAGAGGAUGACCAGCCACACGGGACCUGAGACACGGUCCAGCUUCUUACGGGGGGAAGAAGUGGGGAAUAUUGCACAAGGGGCGAAAGCCUGAUGAAGCCAUGCCGGGGGUAUGAAGAAGGCUUCGGGUUGGAAAGUACUUUCAGCGGGGAGGCGUUACCCGCAGAAGAAGCACCGGCUAACUCCGUGCCAGCAGCCGCGGUAAUUC